rnacentral:tRNA from 1 species
GGAGAGAUCGCCUAGUCUGGCUUAGGGCGCCGCAUUGGAGGUGCGGUGUGGGCGUAAGUCCACCGUGGGUUCAAAUCCCACUCUCUCCGCCA